rnacentral:rRNA from 1 species
UAAGUAGGGGGCGAGCGUUGUCCGGAAUCAUUGGGCGUAAAGGGCGCGUAGGCGGGCUUAUAAGUCUGAUGUGAAAGUGCGGGGCUUAACUCAGUAAAGCAUUGGAAACUGUAAGUCUUGAGGACAGGAGAGGAAAGUGGAAUUCCACGUGUAGCGGUGAAAUGCGUAGAGAUGUGGAGGAACACCAGUGGCGAAGGCGACUUUCUGGACUGUAACUGACGCUGAGGCGCGAAAGCGUGGGGAGCGAACAGG